AUCAACUUUCGAUGGUAGGAUAGAGGCCUACCAUGGUGGUAACGGGUAACGGGGUGUUAGGGCACGACACCGGAGAGGGAGCCUGAGAAACGGCUACCACAUCCAAGGAUGGCAGCAGGCGCGCAAAUUACCCAAUCCCGACACGGGGAGGUAGUGACAAUAAAUAACAAUACGGGGUUCUUUUGGAUUUCGUAAUUGGAAUGAGUACAAUUUAAAUCUCUUAACGAGGAACAAUUGGAGGGCAAGUCUGGUGCCAGCAGCCGCGGUAAUUCCAGCUCCAAUAGCGUAUAUUAAAGUUGUUGCAGUUAAAAAGCUCGUAGUUGAAUUUCGGGGUUAGUAGGCUGGUCAUGCCACAGGUAUGCACUGGUCUUACUGAUUCCUCCUUCCUGAUGAACCGUAAUGCCAUUAAUUUGGUGUUGCGGGGAGUCUGGACUGUUACUUUGAAAAAAUUAGAGUGUUUAAAGCAGGCUAACGCUUGAAUACAUUAGCAUGGAAUAACGAAAUAGGACGUUCGAUCUUAUUUUGUUGGUUUCUAGGAUUGACGUAAUGAUUAAUAGGGAUAGUUGGGGGCAUUAGUAUUCAAUUGUCAGAGGUGAAAUUCUUGGAUUUAUUGAAGACUAACUACUGCGAAAGCAUUUGCCAAGGAUGUUUUCAUUAAUCAAGAACGAAAGUUAGGGGAUCGAAGACGAUCAGAUACCGUCGUAGUCUUAACCAUAUACUAUGCCGACUAGGGAUCGGAUGAUGUUAAUUUUAUAAUGACUCAUUCGGCGCCUUACGGGAAACCAAAGUGUUUGGGUUC
rnacentral:rRNA from 1 species